rnacentral:rRNA from 1 species
UAUAGUUUAUUUGAUAAUCCCUUACUACUUGGAUAACCGUAGUAAUUCUAGAGCUAAUACAUGCAUAAAUGCCCGACUGCUUGCGGAAAGGCAGCAUUUAUUAGAUAAAAGCCAACCGUCUUCGGACGUGAUUUUGGUGAUUCAUAAUACCUUUGCGAAUCGUACGACUCCAUGUCGACGAUGGAUCAUUCAAGUUUCUGCCCUAUUAGAUUUGGAUGGUAGUGUAUUGGACUAUUAUGUCGUUGAUGGGUAACGGAGAAUUAGGGUUCGAUUCCGGAGAGGGAGCCUGAGAGACGGCUACCACA